rnacentral:rRNA from 1 species
GCAUAUCAAUAAGCGGAGGAAAAGAAACUAACAAGGAUUCCCCUAGUAACGGCGAGUGAAGAGGGAAGAGCCCAAGAUUGAAAGCUGGCGUCUUCGGCGUCCGCAUUGUAAUCUCAAGAAGUGUUUUCCGCUUCGGACCAUGCCUAAGUCCCUUGGAAAAGGGCAUCAUAGAGGGUGAUAAUCCCGUACAUGGCAUGGAGCGCCCGAAGCUUUGUGAUACGCUUUCUAAGAGUCGAGUUGUUUGGGAAUGCAGCUCAAAAUGGGUGGUAAAUGCCAUCUAAGGCUAAAUAUUGGGGAGAGACCGAUAGCGAACAAGUACAGUGAUGGAAAGAUGAAAAGAACUUUGAAAAGAGAGUUAAACAGUACGUGAAAUUGCCAAAAGGGAAGGGUAGGAGGUCAGAGAUGCGGCCUGGGAUUCAGCCUUGCUUUUGCUUGGUGUUUUUCCCAGAUUGCAGGCCAACGUCGGUUUUGGGCACUGGAGAAGGGUGAGAGGAACGUGGCACCCCUCGGGGUGUGUUAUAGCCUCUCACUGGAUACAGCGACCGAGACCGAGGACAGCAGCGUACUCGCAAGAGCGGGCCUUCGGGCACCUUUACGCUUAGGGCGUUGGCAUAAUGGCCCUCUACCACCCGUCUUGAAACACGGACC